rnacentral:rRNA from 1 species
UAAGGAAUAUUGGUCAAUGGACGCAAGUCUGAACCAGCCAUGCCGCGUGAAGGAUGAAGGUCCUCUGGACUGUAAACUUCUUUUAUCUGGGACGAAAACGGGAUUUUUAUCUCAAUUGACGGUACCAGAGGAAUAAGCACCGGCUAACUCCGUGCCAGCAGCCGCGGUAAUACGGAGGGUGCGAGCGUUAUCCGGAUUUACUGGGUUUAAAGGGUGCGUAGGUGGGCUUAUAAGUCAGUGGUGAAAUCUCCGAGCUUAACUUGGAAACUGCCGUUGAUACUAUAGGUCUUGAAUUAUCUGGAGGUAAGCGGAAUAUGUCAUGUAGCGGUGAAAUGCUUAGAUAUGACAUAGAACACCAAUUGCGAAGGCAGCUUACUACAUAUAAAUUGACGCUGAGGCACGAAAGCGUGGGGAUCAAACA